UGAUGGAGGUUGAGAAGUCCAACUUCAAGGCACCACAUCUGGUGAGAGCCUUCAUUCCGAUGACAGCCUUCAUGCUGCAACCUGCAGCAGGAAAAUGGGCUUCAGUUUUCAAGUCUGCAGCUGAGUUGGGAAGUUGCGGACAGUAACCAGACAGGAGAUAAUUGAGAUCAUAAGGGUUGAGGCCUAAUCUCAUAGGAUCGCUGUCCUUAUAAGAAGUGGAAGAAACAUCAGAGAGCUCUCCCUCUCCACACACACAGAGGAAAGGCCACAUGGGGACAAGAGAGGGCAACUGUCUACAAAUCUGGAAGAGAGACUUCAGAAGAAACCAGCACUGAUGGCAUCUGAUCUUGGACUUCCAGCCUCUGGAUCUAUCUGCCAGAGCCUGAUCUCAUACACACUGAUGUGGUACAGGAAAUGCCACCUGAAAAUAUGGUACCUUGGCAUUUGAGGAAACAGUAGAAGGAGGUCAUAGAAACUAGAAAGAAUUCCUCCUUGCUCUUUGUCCCCCAAAGGAGCCAUAAAACCUGGGCCGAGUUUCUUCUGAAAAUAAGUUAUAAGAUCCUUAUUCCAGAGGGGUCCUGCCCUGUGCCUGGAGGAAAAGAAUGAAGACACAGAGAUGCCUUGAAGAAUCUGAACAAACAGCCCUUGCUAAGUUCCCCCCAGUUUAUUGACAUUAGAUUAGACCUUUUGUCCUCCAAUUAUACUUCUGUGUUCCUGAAAAUACACAUUUUCCCGUUUUUUCUUUUGUUUGCUUUUUUUGAUCUUCAUUUCUGAAGAUUCCCAUGUCAUGUAAAAUAUAUGUUAAACAAAU
rnacentral:lncRNA from 10 species